rnacentral:lncRNA from 1 species
GAUUAAAUAGCAUAAGGUGUGGCAAGGUCUUAGUCAAAUGACAUAAUUUGCAAAAAAAAAAAAAAGAAGUUUUUGUUACAUCAAUACUUAAUAUAAAAUACUCAGGGGUAUAGCAUCAGAUUUAGCAAGACUGGUAGCAUACAGCUACCUCAAUUUAGGCCACAAUCCACAGGUUCUAGUAGCAAAAUGCCCGAGGAAUUGCAGGUGCUCAGUAUCUAGUAAAGAAGGACACGCAUCACAUAGCUCGCUGGAUCUUCACUACAACGAGAUCCGGGAGAUCCUGAUGCACCUGCGCACCCUGGCCAUGGACAUGGCCACCUCCACGGAGCGGUCUGGCCCCGCCUGCAGAAGCCCGGAGCUGGCGGUGUGCGGCUUGCACGCCAGGUCCAGGCGCUUGUACGGGUACGCGCGAUCGACGGCGCCCCGACCGUGGGAGUGGGACGCUGCCUCGCCGUCCGCGUCGCCGUCCGCGUCGCCGUCCCCUGCCUGUUCGAGGCCGGAGCUCCCGGCGCGCUUCCUCUUGGUGCCGGCCGCGGUGGCGACUGAAUAGCUGCCCUGGACCACGCAAUGCGCGGCCGAGAAGGGGGCAGGGGCCGGAGCGGCGUCGACGUCCAUGGCGACGUCGAGCUGGAGCACCUUCAAGAAGAUGUCGAGGUCGGCGCCGGGGCCGGCGAGGCGCUCGAGGGCGUCGACGGCGUCGGUGAGGCGGUC